UGGGGAAUAUUGCACAAUGGACGCAAGUCUGAUGGAGCAACGCCGCGUGAGUGAAGAAGGUUUUCGGAUCGUAAAGCUCUGUUGUUGGUGAAGAAGGAUAGAGGCAGUAACUGGUCUUUAUUUGACGGUAAUCAACCAGAAAGUCACGGCUAACUACGUGCCAGCAGCCGCGGUAAUACGUAGGUGGCAAGCGUUGUCCGGAUUUAUUGGGCGUAAAGCGAGCGCAGGCGGAAUGAUAAGUCUGAUGUGAAAGCCCACGGCUCAACCGUGGAACUGCAUCGGAAACUGUCAUUCUUGAGUGCAGAAGAGGAGAGUGGAACUCCAUGUGUAGCGGUGGAAUGCGUAGAUAUAUGGAAGAACACCAGUGGCGAAGGCGGCUCUCUGGUCUGCAACUGACGCUGAGGCUCGAAAGCAUGGGUAGCGAACAGGAUUAGAUACCCUGGUAGUCCAUGCCGUAAACGAUGAGCGCUAGGUGUUGGGGACUUUCCGGUUCUCAGUGCCGCAGCAAACGCAUUAAGCGCUCCGCCUGGGGAGUACGACCGCAAGGUUGAAAC
rnacentral:rRNA from 1 species